rnacentral:rRNA from 1 species
AAGACCCCAACUGCGUCGCGGAUGCGGCGUCUCCAACGCGACCCCAGUCCGGGGCGGUUUCCCCUUU